rnacentral:rRNA from 2 species
AUAACAGGCUUAUCUCCCCCAAGAGUCCACAUCGACGGGGAGGUUUGGCACCUCGAUGUCGGCUCAUCGCAUCCUGGGGCUGUAGUCGGUCCCAAGGGUUGGGCUGUUCGCCCAUUAAAGCGGUACGCGAGCUGGGUUCAGAACGUCGUGAGACAGUUCGGUCCCUAUCCGUCGUGGGCGCAGGAAAUUUGAGAGGAGCUGUCCUUAGUACGAGAGGACCGGGAUGGACGCACCGCUGGUGUACCAGUUGUCUUGCCAAAGGCAUCGCUGGGUAGCUAUGUGCGGACGGGAUAAGUGCUGAAAGCAUCUAAGCAUGAAGCCCCCCUCAAGAUGAGAUUUCCCAUAGCGUCAAGCUAGUAAGAUCCCUGAAAGAUGAUCAGGUUGAUAGGUCAGAGGUGGAAGCGCGGUGACGUGUGGAGCUGACUGAUACUAAUCGAUCGAGGACUUAACCAAAA